rnacentral:rRNA from 1 species
AUUGAACGCUGGCGGCAGGCCUAACACAUGCAAGUCGAGCGGAUGAAGGGAGCUUGCUCCUGGAUUCAGCGGCGGACGGGUGAGUAAUGCCUAGGAAUCUGCCUGGUAGUGGGGGAUAACGUCCGGAAACGGGCGCUAAUACCGCAUACGUCCUGAGGGAGAAAGUGGGGGAUCUUCGGACCUCACGCUAUCAGAUGAGCCUAGGUCGGAUUAGCUAGUUAGUGGGGUAAAGGCCUACCAAGGCGACGAUCCGUAACUGGUCUGAGAGGAUGAUCAGUCACACUGGAACUGAGACACGGUCCAGACUCCUACGGGAGGCAGCAGUGGGGAAUAUUGGACAAUGGGCGAAAGCCUGAUCCAGCCAUGCCGCGUGUGUGAAGGAGGUCUUCGGAUUGUAAAGCACUUUAAGUUGGGAGGAAGGGCAGUAAGUUAAUACCUUGCUGUUUUGACGUUACCAACAGAAUAAGCACCGGCUAACUUCGUG